CCCUGGUGUGUAGGAUAGUGCUAGUAUACAGAGACACUACGGGCCGAAGGGCCUGUUUCCAUUCAGCAUCUACAAACUAAACAGAUUCUUCUUUGUAUUAGCAGUAGAUGGGGCAUGGUCACAGUAUCAGUCACU